rnacentral:rRNA from 1 species
GACGAACGCUGGCGGCGUGCUUAACACAUGCAAGUCGAGCGGAAAGGCCCUUCGGGGUACUCGAGCGGCGAACGGGUGAGUAACACGUGAGUAACCUGCCCCAGACUUUGGGAUAACCCUCGGAAACGGGGGCUAAUACCGGAUACGACACAGCUUCGCAUGGGGUCUGUGUGGAAAGUUUUUCGGUUUGGGAUGGGCUCGCGGCCUAUCAGCUUGUUGGUAGGGUGAUGGCCUACCAAGGCGACGACGGGUAGCCGGCCUGAGAGGGCGACCGGCCACACUGGGACUGAGACACGGCCCAGACUCCUACGGGAGGCAGCAGUGGGGAAUAUUGCACAAUGGGCGGAAGCCUGAUGCAGCGACGCCGCGUGAGGGAUGACGGCCUUCGGGUUGUAAACCUCUUUCAGCAGGGACGAAGCGUAAGUGACGGUACCUGCAGAAGAAGCGCCGGCCAACUACGUG